GUCUUCUCUUUGUCUGAAUCCAUCUCCAGGGGUCCUGGCUUGCCUGGAUGGCUAUAUGAAUAUAGCCUUGGAGCAGACAGAGGAGUAUGUAAAUGGACAGCUGAAGAAUAAGUACGGGGAUGCAUUUAUCCGAGGAAACAAUGUGUUGUACAUAAGUACACAGAAGAGGAGGAUGUGAAGACACCUAGAGUGCCAUACUUUUCACACUCGGAUAUGUUUUUUAUUAAGUUUUUUGGUUCUUCUGUCAUAUAAUUUGUCCUAUUUUGUCAUAGUUGGUGAUUUUUCACUGACACGUGAGUGAGAUAAAUGUAUAAAAUUGUGGAUUUAAUUGUAAAGAGUUCUUUCAUAUUUAAGUUGCAGUCAUUUUCUUUUACCUCUAUGUCAGUGAGCAGAAAGCAAAAAGAAUUUUCAAAAAAGAGAAAAUCUUUCUCCCUGCAUGAUUUGUAACUGAAGUCUCAAACAACACCAUUUGAUUUGCCUGCUUUGCUUGUGGGACUGACUGAAAUGAUGGACGUGAGGACAAUUAAAACAUUUGUAGAGACGG